rnacentral:lncRNA from 10 species
ACCCCUUGGAGCUGUCAGCACCACUGCUUAUUCAGUGGUAGACUCAGUGGAAGACAAAACUUACCUUGUACUCGCUGUGAGCUCCCACACAUUAAGGGUCCACUAGAAUUCUGUGAUCAUGAGAUAUGAAUGCUAUAUGAAAAUGGCAUGUUAAGGAACAGCAGAGGAGAUGCAUAUUGUGUGUAUCUCCACUGUUCAUGCGCAUGCACCAUUGGACUUCAUUUACAGAACAUGAGUUCAAAGAUAAGAUGAUUAAGAAUUUUAAAACAGCAACAGCAAACAUUAAACCCCAAUUGUGGGGCCCUUCUGAACAAAGAUCACACACCCUGAAGCUGGUCCUAUGGGUGGAGAAUGGAGCAUGAACAUUUUGGCUCAGCUCAUCAUGAAGAAUGUCCAUGUGACUUUGGUUAAUAAAAUGUGAGGAAUCCAAAGUUCAAGAAAAGUUCAAAUAACCCACUCACAGUUGCACAGCUAGAGGGAGAGCUGGGAUAGAUCUAUAAAGCUGCAACUCCUGUGCACACAGAAAUAUGAAGCCACUUUCACCCUCUGGAAUCCUUCAG